rnacentral:rRNA from 1 species
UAAGUAGGCGGUGGAAAAUGAACCAAAUGGGAUUCCUUAAGUAAUUGCGAAUGAACAAGGAAAUGCUCAGCUUGAAAAAUGGGGCCUUAGGCUUUGAAUUGUAAUUUUGAAAUGUAUUGCCAAUGGAGGCGCAGGUGCAAGCCUAUUGAAAGAAAGCGUCAAUGAGGGUGAGAUUCCUUUUUGCCAUUUGCAGUCCUCUGUGCACGGUAUACAUUUGAUGAGUCACACUCCUCGGCAUUGGAAUGCAAAGUGGGUGGUAAAUUCCAUGUAAAGAUAAAUAUAUUAUUGAGACUGAUAGCAAACAAGUACCAUGAGGGAAAUAUGAAAAGGACUUUGAAAAGAGAAUUAAAAGAGUCUGCAUUUGCUGAACAGAAAGCAAACAGAAUUGGUGUACUUGGUGAGCUUGUUGAGCCCGCUUCUUCAUUUCUAUGUUGGAUUUGGGUGCGAUGGUUCUUACCUUGAAUGCCAGCGUCUAUUUCUACAAAGCAUUACCCUUGCACAUGAAUGGUAAUUUGCCUGCGGGUAUUGGAACGCAUGUGUUUUGCAAUGAUUUGUGAUUUGAUGCAUGUGUCUGGUGAACUUGUACGUUCUCCUUUGCCAUUGGAAAUUUUUUCCCUGAGGAUGGCAAGCCCUUACACAUUCAUGCUGGCAAAAUGUUUCUGCUUGACCCG